rnacentral:rRNA from 1 species
AGUUCGAUUCGGCUCAGAUUGAACGCUGGCGGAUGCUUUGCCACAUGCAAGCUGAACGGCAGCACGGCUUCAUCUGGUGGCGAGUGGCGAACGGUGAGUAAUGUCGGAACGCCUAGUAAGCGGGGGAUAACUACGCGAAAGCGUAGCUAUCAUUUCGCACACAAUUCUUCGGGGGAAAGCGGGGACCUUCGGGCCUCGCACUAUUAGAGCGGCCGAUAUCGGAUUAGCUAGUUGCGGGGUGCGGUAACGCUCACCAAUGACGAUCCGUAGCUGGUUUGAGAGGACGACCCACACACUGGGACUGAGACAGCACCACUCACGGGAGGCAGCAGUGGGGAAUUUUGACAAUGGGGAAACUUGAUCCAAAGCCUGCUAUCCGCGCGUGAUGGAAGGCCUCGGGUUGUAAAGCACUUUUGGCAGGAAAGAAAACGGCAUCGAUAAUACCCCGUGCAACUGACGGUACUGCAGAAUAAGCACCGGUUAACUACGUGCCAGCAGCCGCGGUAAUACGGUAGCGUUAAUCGGAAUUACGGCGUAAAGCGUAAGCAGGCGGUUCGGAAAAAGAAAGAUGUGAAAUCCCAGAGCUUAACUUUGGAACUGGGCAUUUUUGGUCCAAUGAGCUAGAGUGUCAGGAGGUGGAAUUCCGCGUAGCAGUGAAAUGCGUAGGAUAUGCGGAGAGGAACACCGAUGGCGAAGGCAGCUCUCCUGGGAUAACACCAUGCUCAUGCACGAAAGCGCGGGGAGCAACAGGAUUAGAUACUCCUGGUAGUCCGCCCUAAACGAUGUCAAUCAAAUGUUGGGGCCUUCGCCUUUGCAUGUAAUCGCCUGGGAGUACGGUCGCAAGAUUAAAACUCGCACACUGACGGGACCCGCAAGCUGCUGCGGAUGAUGUGGAUUAAUUCGAUGCAACGCGAAAACCUUACCUUACCCUUUGACAUGUCUGGAAUCCCGGCAGAUUUGGAGUGCUCAAGAGAACCGGAACACAGGUGUGCGUUGCAUGGCUGUCGUCACCUGUGUCGUGAGAUGUUGGGUUAAGUCCCGCAAACGAGCGCAACCCGUCAUUAGUUGCUACGAAAGGAAUUCUUAAUGAGACUGCCGGUGACAAACCGAGGAAGGUGGAUGAUUUCAAGUCCUCAUGGCCCUUAUGCAGGGGCUUCACGUCAUACAAUGUCGGGACAGGUCGCCAACCUGAGGUGGAGCCAAUCCCGGUGUCCGAUCGCAGUCCCUGGAUCGCAGUCUGCAACUCGACUGCGUGAAGUCGGAAUUCCAACGCGGAUCAGCCGCAGAAUACGUUCCCGGGUCUUGCGGCACACACCAGCCUGCUGCCGCCCGGGGAGCGGUUUUACCAACGCAGUUAAUGAACCCAGAACUGAGUACGCCGCGAGACCGCCACGGUUGUAAAUCAACGCAGAUCGG